CCCAACUGGCGGAAGGAAGACCAGUUGGCUAUUUACCAGCAUGACCGAGGAGUUGAACUGGGGUCUCCAGCCUUGUGGUCGGUGCGGAACUUGAACCCGCGACCUCCGGAUUUCAAAUCCGACGCCUUAACCACUCGGCCACGCUGCCUCUGCGUUAUCCCGAGGCACAUGUUCCCUUAUUUCUUGCAGGUCAUCCGAUCGGUGCUACAGGUCUGGCGCAGUGUGCAGAGCUUAAUUGGCAGCUGAGAGGCGAAGCUGGCAAGCGGCAGGUGGACGGGGCAUUGGUAGCUUUGCAACAUAACUAUGGAAUCGGUGGAGCAGCUGUAGUGACCAUGUACAGGAAAUAUAAACCAGAAGUCAAGACACAGCCUCAUGCCAAGUUGUAACAAGGUGUCUCGCCAUAGACAGCACAGCGGCGUAAACAUAGCUGGGGAAGACAAUUUAUUGAGGAAUGACUGUUGCAAAAUGAAAGCUGAACGAUAUCAAGGUUAUUUAAAUAAAACAAGAAGACAUGAAUUA